AUCCUUUUGUGUUUCAUAUGUGAUGAUUAGUUUUUCAUGCUAUUUUGUGAGAUGUGUCUCCCUCUAAACCUUGCCACAAUGUUGACACGAAGAAAAAAUGUUGACA